GCGCUCGUAGCUCAGUUGGAUAGAGUACCAGACUACGAAUCUGGUGGUCAGAGGUUCGAAUCCUCUCGAGCGCACCA
rnacentral:tRNA from 1 species